GGCCGGGUGGCGGAAUUGGUAUACGCGUUCGACUUAAAAUCGAAUGGAGUAAUCCAUACGGGUUCAAGUCCCGUCCCGGCUACCA
rnacentral:tRNA from 1 species